rnacentral:rRNA from 1 species
AUGGCCGCAGUUGUUGGUGUCGGGGCAGAGGAUGCCGAACACGAAGGAGGCCGAGAACGACCGCACCGUCCGGUUCCGCGCCGCCGGCUCGCGGAAGCGGAACGGCGCCGGGUGGAUGGCGUGGGCCUUCUGGCGGAGCGUGCCGUUGGUGAGCUCGAGAAGACCGGUUGUGGUGACCGCGGCCGCGCCGCCGAGGGUGAUGUUGGCGCCGGCGAAGCUGGAGUAGACGAACUGCUGGCCGACGCUGCAGAUAGCAAGGCUAACAGCGACGAGGAGGAGGAGGAGGAAGCAGCUGAGCUUCAUGUGAGCCUGAGGCAUAGCCGGUAUUGCUCGUACGCGGAGGAGAAAGGCGAAGCCUGCGAAUGA